rnacentral:rRNA from 1 species
ACGUGGGCAACCUGCCUGUAAGACUGGGAUAACUUCGGGAAACCGGAGCUAAUACCGGAUAAUUUUUAUCAACACAUGUUGGUAAGCUAAAAGACGGCGUAAGCUGUCACUUACAGAUGGGCCCGCGGCGCAUUAGCUAGUUGGUGAGGUAACGGCUCACCAAGGCAACGAUGCGUAGCCGACCUGAGAGGGUGAUCGGCCACACUGGGACUGAGACACGGCCCAGACUCCUACGGGAGGCAGCAGUAGGGAAUCUUCCGCAAUGGACGAAAGUCUGACGGAGCAACGCCGCGUGAGUGA